AGUGAACGCUGGCGGUAGGCCUAACACAUGCAAGUCGAACGGUAGCACAGGCGAGCUUGCUCUCUGGGUGGCGAGUGGCGGACGGGUGAGGAAUACAUCGGAAUCUACUUUUUCGUGGGGGAUAACGUAGGGAAACUUACGCUAAUACCGCAUAAGUCCUACGGGUGAAAGCAGGGGACCUUCGGGACUUGCGGGAAUGAAUGAGCCGAUGUCGGAUUAGCUAGUUGGCGGGGUAAGGGCCCACCAAGGCGACGAUACGUAGCUGGUCUGAGAGGAUGAGCAGCCACACUGGAACUGAGACACGGACCAGACUCCUACGGGAGGCAGCAGUGGGGAAUAUUGGACAAUGGGCGCAAGCCUGAUCCAGCCAUACCGCGUGGGUGAAGAAGGCCUUCGGGUUGUAAAGCCCUUUUGUUGGGAAAGAAAUCCAGCUGGCUAAUACCCGGUUGGGAUGACGGUACCCAAAGAAUAAGCACCGGCUAACUUCGUGCCAGCCGCCGCAGUAA
rnacentral:rRNA from 1 species